CCUCCCGCCUGCCUCACCGCCUUAGCAUUCACCUACGCUGGUCAUGGCGUCUCCACAGGACCAAGGGGCUCCCCUCCCAUUGAUGCCAGAUAAGGCCCGCCUGGGCAAUUCAGCAAGAGCCUGGGUGAAGACAGGCAAAUGACAAAAGAAAGAAGACAAAAAACAAAGAAAGAAAGGAAAGAAAGGAAGGAAGGAAGGAAGAAAGGAAGAAAGAAAGAAAGAAAGAAAGAAAGAAAGAAAGAAAGAAAGAAAGAAAGAAAGAAAGAAAGAAGAGAAAAGAAAAGAAAGCCAGCCCCAAACAUAGCAGCCUCGGCUACAAUGUUAAACCUGUAAAUGUUAAGGUUUUGAGGAACAAAGAGGAGAAUCUUUUCAAAGGUUUUAUAUCUUGUGCUACUGGCUGUACAACACAAAUUGAUGUAAAAUGUUACAUGCUUCACUUUGUAGAAUACAAGAUGGCUCAUUCUGAUAAAGCUGGUGAGAAACAAAACAAAACAACAGUGUUAGUGGCUCAGAGGGCUCUGGUGCUUUGUGCCGCCUAUGGGAGGAUUACAAUUUGAACUGAGAACUUGAAACAACAAACCUCCGUUAGUAAUGAUUUCCAUGUAUUGCUGCCCCAUGCAAAAGAGAAACAAAAGGAAGAGUAGAAGUCUCUGCAUCACAAUCCACUGUUAAAAUCUUCAAAAAAGCUUUGCUAAUGUGUUCUUGUUACCCUGAAAUGUCUGGUCUCAGUGGCUUUACAGACUUAAAUGUUUAUUUUGAGUGGGUAUGUUUGGACUUUCCAACUGACAAGAUCAACAGGACUUUUAGGAAAACCUGGUCUGUUUUUUGUGCCCCAAACAGCUGUCUGGCCCUCCUUAUGUGUCUUGUCUGCUUUGCUGCCAUGGGAAUUAAGCCACUGCAUUUUUAAAGUCUUGGAUUGACAGACCAAAGUUCCUGGCCUUGACGCAGCUGAAACCCGAUAGUGUGUUCCAUGCUGUUUCUGCCCCUAUGCAGCAGGAUAGAAAUGAAAGGUCACGUCAACAACAGCACUCAGUCUGACACAGACUCUGUGGGGCCAUAAAUGACAAAAAUAUAGAUGCUGAUGGAACUGUCUGGGUCACAGACAAAUGCUGACAGGAAAGGGCAUAUUCCCAGAACACCAUAUGAAAUUGCAGCAAUGAAUGACUCUAUAGAAUCUGUUAAAAGAUAAACUACAUUCAUUCCUAACCCGUGAUUCCUUCCUUGGGGGAGGACACAUCACAUGAAAUGUGAUCCUGGUACUCAUUGCCCACAUAUCAGACUUGGGAUCCCCCUUGGAGAUGCCUCUUCGAUGUUAACUUGCAGUUACAGCUCACACUAAGGGACUGAUAGCCUUUCCGUUGCCUCUUUCCUGGGAUACACACCUUCCUAAGGUAUGAUUAGUCAUAGCAAGGAGCUGUAUUGUUUUUUUUUUAUUCUUCUUCAUGGGCAAAUGACCAGGACAAAAUGAAUGGGAAGUUAAAGAAACCUAUUGUAAAACAAUCCAGGACCCUUCCUGAGCAAUUCUUGAACAUUAAUGUGUCUUUCCCAUUAAAUUGCAUAAGGUCAUUUUUCCAGUAAAAGUUAAAUGAUUGGGAAAUUUGAAGUUAGAAUUACAGAGAAGCUGACUGCUUUUGUAACAAUGGAGUGAAACAGGAAAUCCUGGGAGGCUCGGCAGAGGAGAGAGCCAAUGCUAAGCUUCAUUUUUUCCAGGCCUCCUCGAAAUUCUCCCUUCUUUCUGUAGAAGAAUGCCUUGUUUCCAACCUGCUGUUGAGCAGUCUAUACUAGAUGGCAGCUGACAAGCCUCCCAUCACUCACGGCUGGCAGCACACCAAUGAGGCAGGAGUGAUGCUUACUCCCACUCUUAGCACACAAUUGAUGCCACCCACACGCAUGGGAAGGUGGGACCAACGAGAUGAAUAAGCCAAAUGGAUGGAACUUGCCUAUCUUCAGACACUUCCUCUGAAGCCAAUAAUUAAACUACAUUAUAUGGACUGAAGUGGGUGGCAGGCUCCUCUGGAAACUAAUAAUCCAUAAAACCUAACCAGUGUACAUUGUGCUUUGUGUACUCUAGAAUUCUGCUUGCAUGUGCCUAUGCUGCUCUUACCUUGGCACUAGAGAGAAUCCAAAUGGAGUUCAACUUACUGAUCAGAAUUUUGCUGAGCCUGUACCGAUGCUUUGGCCAGGCCAAAAAUAAAAAAUAAAAAAGAAGAAAGAAAGAAAUUUAAGAAGGUUAAGAAGGAAGCCACUGACUUUCUAAGGCAGAGUUUUGAAGUUAAUGACAUAUGUUUCAAGUGGUUAACUCCAGGUUCCCUGGAGGUUAUAAGUUGUUAAAAACAUUAGCUUAGGGGUUGGGGAUUUAGCUCAGUGGUAGAGUGCUUGCCUAGCAACCGCAAGUCCCUGGGUUCAGUCCCCAGCUCUGAAAAAAAAAAAGAAAAGAAAAGAAAAAGAAAAAAAAAAGAAAAAAAUUAGCUUAGGGUCACAAAGAAAGAGACCAUUAUUCCAACUGAAGUGCUUGGAACAACUUUAUUCUUGUUCAAGAGGUUGUGCUACAGACACGGAGGCCUGAAAUGCUCUUGGUUUAUAUUCUAACUCAGGUGGUGGUUGUGUCUUCCCCCCAUUGGCUGGGGUCUGAUUUCACAAUCUUACUCAUUUGGGUAGUCUGAAAAGAACUGGCACCCAGGAAAUGGAGGAAUGAGAAAUGGGUUAUUGCUACAAGAAGAAAAAGGUCACUUGACAGACCAUUAACUUCAUAGAGUAGAGAACAAAAAACAAAGGUUUUACUGGGGGCGGAGGGGGGUGAGGGCUCAAAACGUUUGCAUAAAAGUGUGGUGGUGGGAGAGAAAAAGAUUUUAAUUCCUUGUCCCAAACAUAAGUUGUUGUGGUUUUUGUUUGGUUUUGUUUUUAGUAUUGGAUAGAAAAGACUCAUAUUUGGUAUUUCUUUCAAAGUGAAGUCACUCCUGUAGUAUGGCCUCAUCCUGUUGCUGGGCUCCAACGAAUAAUUGUGCAAUAAAGAUGCCUUGGUCACCUACCUGGACACAGAAGGUACUCCUGUAGUCCCAGCUCCUAGGGAGAAAAACUAUUAGUUUCCUCUUUUCUGAGGAAAUAGGAGCUCUUCUGGAUUUCAGAGUCAACACAGCCUGCACAGACUGAAGUGUGUGUGUCAAAAAAUGCCUUGUCUGUUAGCCAAGGGACAGACUGGUUGCCCAGCAGUGCAAUCCUUUGAAAGGGUAGCAUUUAGCUGUCUUCCAGAAAUGUUUCCUGUGUCUCUUUUCUGCUAAGGAUGGUACACUAUAUCUAAACUACACAAAUGGUAGGUUAUGCUGUCCAUGUGCAUGUGUGUUUGAUCAUCUAGAAUUUUAGUAAACACAAAACAAAGGGAGAAAACCCUUGGCUCCAAAUCUCUGAUGGGCUUCUCUGGGCAUGUGGCAUGCACUGCUGCAAUGUUAUUGCUUAUGAGACCUCCCCAUCCUUCAGACUCUCUCUCCAGAGUUUCCAACACACUGAGAUAAAGUAUAUGAGAUAUUUCAGUCUUAUUAUCCUCUACAUCAUUGCAUCAUUGAACACAUAUGUACACACACACACACACACACACACACACACACACACACCCCUACACACCACAUUGGUAUGGAAUAAAGGAACCACAGAACCACAGAUAAAAUUUAUAGUAAACAAAAAAGUAGUGCAGAUAAGGACAGUUGCUACCAAGCCAGAUGACUUGAGUAGGAGAAAAUAAACCUGGAAAGUUGUCUCCUAACCAAUUUGUUAUGGCACAGCACGCAUGUAUGUGCACACAGACACACAAAAUAUAAUUGAAAAAUUAAACACAAAUAAAGAAAUGUUCUGAAAUAUUUUCUUGUUUUUUUCCAUUAUAGUAUAUAAUAGUUAUCAUCAAUGACCUAUUGUUGUACACUUUCUCAUUGUACUGUGCUCAUUGUAAAAGACAUUGCCCAAUGUUUCCCUUUUUUAUACUUAUCUUUAAGACAGAAGAAGAGAAAAUGAAGCAACUUCUUUCUCUGCUCAUGCUUAGAGAAGAAAAACUGGAAUUGAAACUGUCAUCACUUUACCCAGAAUUGCAUUGGCAUUUUUAUUUUUAAUAUCAUUGUGACAAAAAUCUGCCAUUGUUUUGAGUAGAGUUUGUAUACUGCAUUGUUUUAGCAUAGUGCUCUAUGUUGGAUGUGCCCAAAGUAUGUUUUCCAGUUAAAUCUUACAACAUUUAAACAUGUUUUGUGGCAAGUUGAGCACAAGGUAAAAUGUGUCGCCUUAAUAUUUUUCCAUGUUUAAGUGUUGAUUUUGCUGUGUUUUUCAUUUUUGCUAACCUUAAAUCCUUUGUCCAUUAAAUAGCAACUACCCAUUCUGUCUUUGCUCGAGCUCCUGGCAAUCACUAGUCUUUGUUCUGUCUUUUAGAAAUUUUAUUACUUUGGGGACUAAUAUUUGUGGAGCUACAUAGUACUUGACUUUCUGUGACUGGAUUGUUU
ensembl:lncRNA